rnacentral:rRNA from 1 species
CGCGGGAAUUCGAUUUUCCGGUUGAUCCAGCCGGAGGCCACUGCUAUUGGGAUCCGAUUAAGCCAUGCGAGUCGAGAGGGUUCGGCCCUCGGCAGACUGCUCAGUAACACGUGGAUAACCUACCCUUAGGUGGAGGAUAAUCUCGGGAAACUGAGAAUAAUACUCCAUAGAUCUAGGAUGCUGGAAUGCAUCUAGAUUGAAAGCUCUGGCGCCUAAGGAUGGGUCUGCGGACUAUCAGGUAGUAGUCAGGGUAAAGACCUGACUAGCCUACGACGGAUACGGGUUGUGAGAGCAAUAGCCCGGAGACGAUAUCUGAGACACGAUAUCGGGCCCUACGGGGCGCAGCAGGCGCGAAAUCUUCACAAUGUGCGAAAGCACGAUGAGGGGAUCCCAAGUGUUGGUUCGUAAGAAUCAUCUGUUUCUUUGUCUAAAAAACAUAGAGAGUAAGAGCUGGGUAAGACGGGUGCCAGCCGCCGCGGUAAUACCUGCAGCUCAAGUGGUGGUCGCUAUUAUUGGGCCUAAAACGUCCGUAGCCGGUUUGGUAAAUGCCUGGGUAAAUCGUAUAGCUUAACUAUACGAAUUCCGGGUAGACUGCUAAACUUGGGACCGGGAGAGGCUAGAGGUACUCCUGGGGUAGAGGUGAAAUUCUGUAAUCCUAGGGGGACCACCAGUGGCGAAGGCGUCUAGCUAGAACGGGUCUGACGGUGAGGGACGAAGCCCUGGGGCGCAAACCGGAUUAGAUACCCGGGUAGUCCAGGGUGUAAACGCUGCUUGCUUGAUGUUAGUUGGGCUCCGAGCCC